UUUCCUUCGGGACUGAGGUGACAGGUGGUGCAUGGUUGUCGUCAGCUCGUGUCGUGAGAUGUUGGGUUAAGUCCCGCAACGAGCGCAACCCUUGUCUUUAGUUGCCAUCAUUAAGUUGGGCACUCUAGAGAGACUGCCAGGGAUAACCUGGAGGAAGGUGGGGAUGACGUCAAAUCAUCAUGCCCCUUAUGCUUAGGGCUACACACGUGCUACAAUGGGUGGUACAGAGGGUUGCCAAACCGUGAGGUGGAGCUAAUCCCUUAAAGCCAUUCUCAGUUCGGAUUGUAGGCUGAAACUCGCCUACAUGAAGCUGGAGUUACUAGUAAUCGCAGAUCAGAAUGCUGCGGUGAAUGCGUUCCCGGGUCUUGUACACACCGCCCGUCACACCAUGGGAGUCGGAAACACCCGAAGCCGAUUAUCUAACCGCAAGGAGGAAGUCGUCGAAGGUGGCGUCGAUAACUGGGGUGAAGUCGUAACAAGGUAGCCGUAUCGGAAGGUGCGGCUGGAUCACCUCCUUUCUAAGGAGA
rnacentral:rRNA from 1 species